rnacentral:rRNA from 1 species
UACAGAGGGUGCAAGCGUUGUUCGGAAUUAUUGGGCGUAAAGGGCGCGUAGGCGGUGCGGUAAGUCUGCGGUGAAAUCUCCCGGCUCAACUGGGAGGCUGCCGUGGAAACUGCCGUGCUUGAGUGUGGGAGAGGUGAGUGGAAUUCCCGGUGUAGCGGUGAAAUGCGUAGAUAUCUGGAGGAACACCGGUGGCGAAGGCGGCAUUCUGGACUGCAACUGACACUGAGGAACGAAAGCCAGGGGAGCAAACGGG